AUAGGGACCCAUAGGGACCCAUAGGGAACCAUAGGGACCCCAUAGAGACCCAAAAGGACCCCAUAGAGACCCACAGGGACCCAUAGAGACCCCAUAGAGCCCCAUAGAGCCCCAUAGAGACCCCAUAGAGCCCCAUAGAGCCCCAUAGAGACCCCAUAGAGCCCCAUAGAGCCCCAUAGAGACCCCAUAGAGACCCCAUAGAGCCCCAUAGAGCCCCAUAGAGACCCCAUAGAGCCCCAUAGAGCCCCAUAGAGACCCCAUAGAGCCCCAUAGAGCCCCAUAGAGACCCAUAGAGACCCCAUAGAGACCCAUAGAGACCCCAUAGAGACCCCAUAGAGCCCCAUAGAGACCCCAUAGAGACCCAUAGAGCCCCCAUAGAGACCCCAUAGAGACCCCAUAGAGAGAGCCCCAUAGAGACCCCAUAGAGCCCCAUAGAGACCCCAUAGAGCCCCAUAGAGACCCCAUAGAGACCCAUAGAGACCCAUAGAGACCCCAUAGAGACCCAUAGGGACC